rnacentral:sRNA from 1 species
UAAGAUCGGGGGACAGUCUGAUGCGGUU